rnacentral:rRNA from 1 species
GGGCCCGCACAAGCGGUGGAGCAUGUGGUUUAAUUCGAUGAUACGCGAGGAACCUUACCAGGGCUUAAAUGUAAGUUGCAUUAGUUAGAGAUAGCUAUUUUCUUCGGACCACUUACAAGGUGCUGCAUGGUUGUCGUCAGCUCGUGCCGUGAGGUGUCAGGUUAAGUCCUAUAACGAGCGCAACCCCCUGUCGUUAGUUACCAGCAAGUAAUGUUGGGUACUCUAGCGAGACUGCCGUGCAAACCGUGAGGAAGGUGGGGAUGACGUCAAAUCAUCACGGCCCUUACGUCCUGGGCUACACACGUGCUACAAUGGCCGGUACAGAGAGCAGCCACUACGCGAGUAGGAGCG